UUCAAAUUCUACAAGUAGCUAAAGAAAAAAGAACUGAAUUGCUUUAAGUUACAUGGCAGAUACAGAACUGCAGCCCAGAUAACCAGAUAACUUCCCCCGAUAAUCAGUGUGGUGAAAACAUUUGUGUUGGAGUGUCAGAAGUGCUCAAUAGAUGACCUUCGUGUCGCUCGUUUAUCAUGUGAUGGCGCCAUGGCGGAUGGCGGAUUGUUGUCUUGUUGAGUGGUUGUCAAAAGUUUCCUGUUUUUCCAUGAAAAUUACCGAUGAAUUCAUAAUGUAGGAAGGAACGCGAAAGACAACUAGCCUACAAGUAGCCUACCAAUGCUUCAUCCUGUUAAUACAGGCGUGGUCCUCUCUAUUGUGGUUGUGAAUCUCUACUCUCUACUCGUCAACAUCUAUUGAGGAAUAACGAAUCUGCACUUAAAUAACGAUGGCGCAUUGCCAAUAAGUUUCAGCCAUUGACAGUAGACAGCAUGUUGCACGUCAUUUUGUUCUGGACUGGAGGAAGUGAGUUUUCAGUUUUCACUGAACACCCUGGAAUUCUCUAAAUUUAUUGAUCAUUGAUCAUUUGCCGACAAGGACAAGCAACAAGGCAACAUGUGAUGAUUCUGAUCUUGCCAUGAACGGAAGAGAACACUUGGUGCAAGAUCAUAAUUUGAUGGUUAACUUAUGAAGAGAAGGUGAGGAGAAAAUAAGGAUCUUAUUCCUCCAACAACUAUGGCAGAUUUGUUCCCGGUUUACCCUCGCCGCUGUUCGAUAGACUUUAUCAAUUAGUGGAAAACGACGAGUAGUUGGCCACGCUGAAUUUCAAGAUCUAUAAAUUAUAUAUAAGUUUAUAAAUUACAAGUGCAUAUCUGGGCUCCCUUCUUCAGUGGCCCCGUUUCCCUAAAUAACCACUAACCAACGCCCGCCGGUGGUCACUCACUCGCUGCGACAACCAGGAGGAAGGGAGAUGUUUGGUCGAACGGGGACUUGCAAGGCGCAUGAUUCGAUGAAAUCUGUUGGAGGGUCAUGAGUCUAAGCCGGAAGCCUACUAUGACACACUGCUCUCAUAAUAACUGCUCCUCAGCUCUCUUCGCUCUUUUUCCGGUUUCUCUUAACCAUGGCCGGGUAAUCUUCCUGGUCGAGUCAGUCGGGCAGUGUCUCCCCCUGCUCGACUGGCAGCAGUUUGACCCGGACGAUCUGUUUAAUAAGCUGUUUUAAAUAAAUUUGUUUGUUACUUUU
rnacentral:lncRNA from 1 species